GGUAUGAAGAAACAAUCCAACUUUGAAUGAUAUUUUUUUUAUUUCAGAAUAUGCCAGUUAAAUAUCUGGAUAGUUUUUUUUUUUUGCUGUUCAGUAUAUUUAUCAUUGCUAGCCUUGGAUAAGUCAAGUGUGCUCUAAAUCAUGAUUAAACUCGUAGGUUAUGUUUUAACAGUUAGUGCUACAGAAAAAAUGCAAACUAUUAUGUUUUAUAAUUGUUUGAAAUGUAUAUAUUUUCUUUCUAGUGCAACAGUCAUUCUGCUUAAAACUCCUUUUUGUCUGCCAGAGCUGAAAGCUGUAAGAAUAUUGGUCUUUUAGUCGUGGAUGUUGGCAAAAGUUGAUCUUUAUUGGAAUAUGUUAGCAUUUCUAACUUGCCAGAGUUAUCAUCAAUCAAUUAUUUUACUAUGAUAUGAAACUAUUUUAGUAUUAAUAUACUUUACAUCGACAUAAUUAGUUUUGAAAACAGUUUGCUGAAAAGUUUACCGUAAUUAAAAUUUUAACCUUAACUUCAAAAUGCACAUUAACUUGUGUUCUAACUAUUUAUGAAUAGAUAUAUUUGUUUACAGUGAAUCAGUCAUUGUGUUAGACUGCAUUUUUUGGCUCCAAGAGCUGAAAGAAUUAAUACUUUUUGACAACAUCUAGUGGAAUGUUUAGUCAUGGAUGUUCAUCAUAAUUGAUAUUCAUUUGGAUUGUAAUGUUACCAAAUCGAUUUCUUUGUUUUAAUUGAGUUUGGCAAUUAUUUGUACACGUUAUGGUUAUGGUUGAACCAGUUAUCACUAAAGAAUGGUUUAUUUUUGAUUUUACUGCAAAAUGAUACAAGAUCAGAGAAAUAAAUCACACGUACAGCAAUGGACUCUGCGUAGAACACACACCUCUUGAGUUUGUAUAGGAAAUAGAAGCAAACAUUUUCCGAGUCAUAUACACAACAUUUCAGAACAUAAAACAAAAAGUUCAGUAUCAUCUGAAAUAAAAUGAUUUGUGAUUUCUCAUUGAGCUUAAUAAAACUUUAAAAGUAAUGAAUGGAAUUCCAAGUGUGCCAUACAGAAUAGGAAAUAUGCCUUCGUUACAGAAAAUGAAAGCACAAAACAUGAACCAAAGAGAACAUGCAACGUGCAAAAAGAAAUGUAAUGUGUAAAAGAAAUUCUCAUCCUUUCAGUUUAUAGUUAUUGAAGACAGAUCCAAGUGAAGUUCAACAUGAGAGUCCCAAAGUUGAUUCAUUGAAGGCCAAAUGAAAUUGAAAAUCUGGAAAAAGGAAGCCUGAUUUCGUGGACUGAAAUUCUAGAUGUCUAGGAAUGAUUUGUUUUUAGCUCUCCUUAGCACGAAAUGCUCUAGAUGAGCUUUUGUGAUCGCCCUGUGUGUGUCCUUUGUUAGCUCUCUUGAUCAAUGCUGUUCAGGUGAGUUUUUCUGCUUGCUAGAUGUCCGGCGUCCGUCGUCUGUCGUCUGUUGUCUGCCUGUCGUCUGUCGUUCGUCAACAUUUAGCUUGUGUAUGCUCUAGCUGUAUUUUUCAACUGAUCUUCAUGACAUUUCGUCAUUUUGAAUAUCUAGAUGAAAUCUAGGCCGAGUUUGAAAAUAGGUCAUCUGGGUCAAAAACUAUGUCACUAGGUCAAAUCAAGGAAAAGCCUUGUGUAUGCGAUAGAGGCUCUUUUUUUUUCAACUGAUCUUCAUGAAUUUUUGUCAUAAUGAUUGCAUUGAUAAAAUCUAGGCCGAGUUCGAAAAUGGGUCAUAUGGGGUCAAAAACUAGGUCACUAGGUCAUAUCAAGUUAAAAAGUUCUGUAUGCGAUAGAGGCUGUAUUUUUCAAUUGAUCUUCGUUAAUUUUGGUCAGAAUGAUAACCUUGAUAAAAUCUAGUCCAAGUUCGAAAAUGGUCAUCUGGAGUCAAAAACUAGGUCACUAGAUCAAAUCAAAGGAAAACAUUGUGUAUCCCAUAGAGGCUGUAUUUUACAAAAGAUCUUUGUGAAUUUUGGUCAGAAUGGUUGCCUUGAUAAAAUCUAGGGCAGGUUGGAAUAUGGGUCAUCUGGGGUCAUAAACAUGUCACUAGGUCAAAUCAAAGAAAAAACCUUGUGUAUGUGACAGAGGCUGUAUUUUUCAAUUGAUCUUCAUGAAAUUUGGUCAGAAUGAUUGCAUUGAUAAAAUCUAGAUCAAGUUAGAUGAUGGGUUAUCUGGGGUUAAAAACUAGGUCAUUUGGUCAAAUCAAAGUAAAACCUUAUGUAUGCGAGAGAGGCUGUAUUUUUCAAUUGAUCUUCGUGAAAUCUGGUCAGUAUGAUUGCCUUGAUAAAAUGAAGGUCAAAUUUGAAUAUGGAUAAUCUUGGAUCAAAAACUAGGUCACUAGGUCAUAUCAAAUAAAUUCCUUGUUUAAACUCAGGAGACCACAUUUUUGGUCCAAUUCUAAUGAAAAUUGGCCUGAAUAUUUGUUUCCAUGAAAUCCCUAGUUACACUGUUAUGGUGUGUUUCUGAGGUGGGCGACCUAGGUCCAUCUUGGCCCUCUUGUCAACAAUUUGGCUGUUAACACAUUAAAUGUCAUAUAUUGGCCUAAUCUUAAUGAAACUUUGUCAGAAUGUUAUCCUCAAUACAAUCUUGGACAAGUUCCAUAUUGGGUCAUCUGGGGUCAAACACUAAAUCACAAGUCAAAUUGGGUCAUCUGGGGUAAAAAGCUUGUUAUUACUAGAAUGGCCACAUUUAUGUUAAUAUCUCUUUUGAAACUUACUGGGUCAUCUGUAGUCAAAAACUAGGUCACGAGGUCAAGGAAAAGCCUAACACCCUAAAGAGACAUAAUUUAAAGUUUGAAAUGAGAAUUAAACAGAAUGUUUGUCUUGAUGACCUCUUGGCCAAGAUUAAAUAUUGGUCAUGUGGGGUAAAAGAUAGGUCACCAGUUCAAAUCACAGGUUUAGGAUUUACACUUCAGAUAUCAUAUUUAGUUGGUCAGAAUAUUAUUCUUUCUGAUCUUUAGGUCAAGUUAGAAUCUGGGUAAUGUUGGUACAAAAGUAGGUCACAAUGUCAAAUCUGAAGAAACGCUAGUUAACACUCUAGAGUACAUAUUUAUGACCCUAUCUUCACGAAAACUGGUCUGUCUGAAUGUUAUUAUUGAAGAUCAUUAGGUCAUGUUUGAUUCUAGGUCAUAUGGGGUCAAAAACUUUGCCACUAGUUCAAAUCAAAUGAAAAGCUAGUUAACACUCUAGAGCUUUCAUUUAUGACCACAUCUUUAUGAAACUUGGUCAAAAUGUUAUUAUUGAUGAUCUAUAGGUCAAGCUUGAAUCUGGGUCAUGUGGGGUGAAAUACUAGGUCUCCAGGUAAAAUCAAUGGGAAAGCUUGUUAACUCUCUAGAGUCCAUAUUCAUGAUCAUAUCUUCAUGGAACUUGUUCAGAAUGUUUAUCUUAGUGAUCUUUAGUUUAAGUUUACAUCUUGGUCAGGUGAUGUUAAAAACUAGGUCUCCAUGUCAAAUCAAAGGAAAAGCUUGUUUACGCUCUAAGAGUCCAUAUUUAUGACCCUAUUAUCAUGAACCUUGAACAGAAUGUUGAUCUUGAUGAUCUUAAGGUCAAGUUUGAAUUUGGAUCAAGUGAGGUCAAAAACUAGGUAUCCAGGUCAAACCUUAGUAAAGCUUGUAAACUCUAUAGAGUCCAUAUUAUUGACCCUUUCAGUAUGGAACUUGGUCAGAACUUUUUGUCUUGAUGAUGUUUACACUAAAUUCGAAUUUUGGUUGUACUUUUCCAAUUUAAAACAACACCCUGCUUUUUGGAGCGCUAGAAUAACACUCGUAUAAAACUCAAGAAGAAGUCAAGAAGUACCUUCAUGAAACUUCGUCAAAAUUUUGGUCUCUUUGAAAUCAAUACCAGCUUUGAUUCUAACAUAUCAGGUGUUAGUAUUAGGUCAGGUGAGCGAUACAGGUCCUUCAGGGCCCACUUGUUUAUUAACACAAUCUUAAAUAAAACACAUUUCUGCAAGUA